UAUAUUUUCAAAUUCAUAUUUAAUUUUUACUUAACGUAAUGUGAUAAUAAUUAGAGACAAGAGAUUGAAAAUGUUCAAAAUUUGGGAAAAGGUAAAGUAAGAGUAGGAGAAUAAAAAGAGGACAGAAAAGUCGUAGAAGGGCAGGGGGUUGGAGUAGAAGGAGAACAAAGAGAAGAAGGCUGAGGGAAGGACACAGACAGAAGAAGACAGCAGAAACAAGUUAGGGCAUAAGACUUUUUGUAAGCUGGUACUACUAUUUGGGAAUAAUUUCUGGUUCAUAAAAUUUUUAAUUUUAACUUUUUUUGUAAAUAAUAGGUUAAAUAUUUAAAGACAAAAAUGGGUGUUAUAUGUCGUAAUUAACUAUCUAGUCGCAGCUUGAUGUAUUUUUAAGAACAUUUCGAAAUAAAUAUUAUACUAAUAAAAAAGUCUAAAAAUCGAAAGGGGAAUUACUACCGUGAUAAUUUUCCUCGGCUUUCUCUUUCUUCUCCUAUUCUAAACCCACCUGUCCAUCUAUGACUUUUCCCUCCUCUUUUGAUUGUCCCCCCUCUUACUUCACCAGCUUGUUUCAAAUUUUAAACGUUUUGCUCUCUGUCGCCUCUAAUUUUUUUCACAUCACGUUUUUCUUUAAUUCUGUUUGAUCUUCUGUUUUGCAUAAAGAAUCAGGUCGUUAUAAAUUCUACUUAAAUCCAUUAAUUUUGACAGGAGUUUGGAACGUAACGAACUCAAGGAAAUCAAAGCAGAAACAUUCCAAAAUCUUUCCAGUGUAACAACAUUAUAUUUGAAUAAAAAUAAACUCAACAAAAUUCACGUUGGAACAUUCGAUGAUCUGUCCAUGUUAACAUAUCUGAAUUUGGGUGAUAAUAACCUCCAGGAAAUCGAGGUAGAAACAUUCCGAAAUCUUUCCAGUUUAACAAAACUGUAAGUUGAAGAAUUCUUUUU